rnacentral:lncRNA from 1 species
UGGCGGCCAUCUUGGUUAGUUGGUCAGGUCACGGGACACAUUUUUUAAACUAGAUACCCCAAUGAUGAUUGUGGCCAAGUUUGGAUUAAUUUGGCCCAUUAGUUUCAGAGGAGAAGAUUUUUGUAAAAGAUUACUAAGAUUUACGAAAAAUGGUUAAUAAUUGACUAUAAAGGGCAAUAACUCCUAAAGGGGUCAAUUGACCAUUUCGGUCAUGAUGACUUAUUUGUAAAUCUUACUUUGCUGAACAUUAUUGCUGUUUACAGUUUAUCUCUAUCUAUAAUAAUAUUCAAGAUAAUAACCAAAAA